rnacentral:rRNA from 1 species
UACCAGCUCUCCGAGUGGUGUGGAUGUUUAUUGGGCCUAAAGCAUCCGUAGCUGGCUGGGCAAGUCCCCUGUUAAAUCCACUGAUUUAAUCAUUGGAGUGCGGGGGAUACUGCUCGGCUAGGGGACGGGAGAGGCAGACGGUAUUUUCGGGGUAGGGGUGAAAUCCUAUAAUCCCGGGAAGACCACCAGUGGCGAAGGCUGUCUGCUAGAACGCGCCCGACGGUGAGGGAUGAAAGCUGGGGGAGCGAACCGGAUUAGAUACCCGGGUAGUCCCAGCUGUAAACGAUGCAGGCUAGGUGUUUGGGCGGCCACGUGCCGCUCUAGUGCCGCAGGGAAGCCGUUAAGCCUGCCGCCUGGGGAGUACGGCCGCAAGGCUGAAACUUAAAGGAAUUGGCGGGGGAGCACCACAAGGGGUGAAGCUUGCGGUUU